CUUGCUCUUUAAAAAUGAGUCAAGCUUGAUGACUUAUGUCCCUUGGAAAGGAGGCCAAAUUAGUUUAUGGCAAAAUGAUUGGCAGAUGGGCAGGCAGCAUACCAAAGGCACCCAAACCAAACAAAGUCAAUGUAGGAAAAAAAGAAAAGAAAGCCACCCAGGAAAGAGGCCUCUGGGCAUCGUUCCAACUCAUUUCACCUAGAAAAGAAGAAGGGCUGCUUUUAAGGGUCUCGGCUUUGGCAAGACAGCCACAAAGGCUGUUGUUACCUCUGACACUGCAGCAGAAUUAAUCUAACAGGAAGUGGAGACAGUCCAGCAACGCCAUGGCAACCACAGACUGCUGCAGGACCAAGGGAGGAGAGCCUGAAGGCGGGCCUGAUGGUGACUGGGAGAGCGCACUCUAGUGAAGGCAGCCUUGGGGACCUACCUCUGGUACCAGCCCUCAGGGUGAUCACUUUCCCCUGAGAUCACUUUCCCCUAACUUCCAUUAGGGAAGAGAUUAAAACAAAUUAUAAAUGGAGCCACAGUUACACAGAACCCACGGUAAGAGGGUAGGUGCGUGCAUUUGGUGUUCCUUUUUCAUGAAGAGUGGCUCUCACUCCUGCCUUGCAAUGUGACAGGUCACCCUGAGAUGAGGUCAGAGAUGGAGCGUCAAGUGCUGUGAGACGUUAAUGCAAUACAGGACAGUGAUCCAGGAACAUUCAAUUGGAGUACUCACUCAUCCAAAGUAUUAACAUCCUGAUUCAAAAAAGGGCUAUUGGAGCUUUUUAUUUUUCCUUGAAACCUACCUUCUUCUCACCAAGCUUAUGGUAAUGACAUGGACAUAUAAAUACCUCUGAAUAUAAUCGAAUACAAUAAUUGGAUGACACCGUGAAAGAGAGUUUAACUCAAGUAGGUCAAAAGGACAAAAACAAAUGUGAAUCAGAGAGAUAAAAUAUAAAAAACCUUUUCUUAAUCCACUACAAUGUCACUUCAUGAUCAAUAAGAGUUUUUCUUAGUCAAAAUAAUGUCUCUUUCGUCUUAAUUUUAGUCCGUCUCUAUCCCACCCAUUCAAACUCCAAGGUAUCACUGCUGAUAUCUAUAUCUUGCAUCUCUUCAUUAAUUUCCCCAUCUGUAGGAUAAGGUCGAUGGUCUGUAAGUAUUGAAAAACAUCAUACGGGCUGCAUCAGCAACAAACCUAUAGCAGAAUACAUCUCCUUUUACAAAACAGAGCUGCUAGUUGUCCCUUGACAUCCAUUCUUCCAAUGUCUCUCAAAGUAAUAGAACUCCUAAUUUUUAACUGGGCACAAGGCCAUCUGAAAUAAAGACCACUUAGCCCAUCGUCCUAUGCAGCUAGGAAGCCAUAUUACUAAAUUAUGGCCAAAGGAAUAGAAGCAGAAGUUAUGGAAACAACUUUCAAGUUGUGUCCUUGAAGGACAAGUCUUGCCCUUUUUCUC
rnacentral:lncRNA from 1 species